AUGAUGUGGCAUGUGAUUUGAAAAUUAUUGUGUUGGUUGUGGUGUAUUAAUCACAUUGUUUUUCAUGUGCUAUUUAUCUUGCCGGAAUUCAGAUGAUUUACACUAUGAUUUGGGGUUCGAUGAACAAGACACAUAGGGCAAGCAAAAGUUUGUUUUUUUAUUAUUGAAGGGACGGCUCAAACCCUAGCCGCCAUUACCAUUCAGUUAUAGUCUCAUUGAGAGAGUUUUGAGAGGAAUUUUGGCAUGGUUUUCAGUUAUCAUGGACUUUGAAGGUUGGCAAGAAGGUUGGUGGACUCAGAAUGAGCUGGAGUCGGAUAUUUGGGCAGACUUCAUGGAAUUGGAUCUACAGUUUAUAAACACAUGAAAGUUUUAUUGGAAAUCCAAACUCGAGGGUUUGUUCUUGGCUCAAGUAUAUAGUUUGAUAUAAGGGUUUCAUUUUUUUCGUUCUAUAUAUUCAUGGCUUCAAGCCAUUGUUCAGUUGGAUGGUUGUAAAAAGGAAACAAAGCAUUAUUGAAGCUUUUAUUGUGUUACAUUUGAAAAUUUGACCAAAAAAAAAUUGAAAGAGGGUUUUGUUGUGUCUAGUUUUCACAACAGAGAAUUAAACUUCAGUUUGAGAGAGAUUUUGUGGUAUUGUUACAUACAGUACAUAUUGUAAUUGGCAACAUUGAAAAUCAUAUUUGUUUUUGUAUUCAUUGAUGAUUUUAGGAUUGCAAGUUUGAUGCAGUUGUAAGGUCAUUAUUGAUUACAAACUUAGACAAUAACUUUGUAUUUCGGGGGGUUGGUGCUCCUAUGAAGUUGGUAUUUUAGAAAAAGGUGUUGAGUAGUAACUCCACCAUUGUUACAGAGUUGGUUCUCUUUGAUUAAUGAAAAUGAAGUUUUAGCGAGUGGUUUUUUAUACCCCAUGAGGGUUUUUCCACUCGGGAAAAUCAUGUGUUACAUGAUGUUAUUUGUGUUCAGUUUUUGUGCUUAAAAGUUCAAUAUCACUCAUUCUUUUACUUGCUAA